rnacentral:snRNA from 1 species
GGAUGUGAGGGCGAUCUGGCUGCGACAUCUGUCACCCCAUUGAUCGCCAGGGUUGAUUCGGCUGAUCUGGCUGGCUAGGCGGGUGUCCCCUUCCUCCCUCACCGCUCCAUGUGCGUCCCUCCCGAAGCUGCACGCUCGGUUGAAGAGGACGACCAUCCCUGAUAGAGGAGGACCAUUCUUCGGUCAAGGGUAUACGAGUAGCUGCGCUCCCCUGCUAGAACCUCCAAACAAGCUCUCAGGCCCAAAGCCUGAAAAUCCAGGGAAAGGGCAGUUGGUGUUAAGU